rnacentral:misc_RNA from 1 species
CAGAGGAUAAGUUGGAACGUUCAACUUCAUCAUUAGGAGAAAUCCCUCCAAGAGAGGCAUGCGAUAUUCAUCUGCUAACUCGUGGAAGAGCAUGGGCAAUUUCUCUUACACUCAGGAGUACAAUCAGUGAAGAAAUUUUAAAACCAUGCUUACCUAGUGGCAGUGAUGGAACAUUUGAAAAUCUUCUAUACCGGUCAUCUCUUCAUGGGAGGGGCUUU